AUUGAACGCUGGCGGCAUGCCUUACACAUGCAAGUCGAGCGGCAGCGCGGGGGCAACCCUGGCGGCGAGCGGCGGACGGGUGAGUAAUACAUCGGAACGUGUCCUUUCGUGGGGGAUAACCAGUCGAAAGACUGGCUAAUACCGCAUGAGAUCUCACGAUGAAAGCGGGGGACCGCAAGGCCUCGCGCGAUUGGAGCGGCCGAUGUCGGAUUAGCUAGUUGGCGGGGUAAAAGCCCACCAAGGCGACGAUCCGUAGCUGGUUUGAGAGAACGACCAGCCACACUGGGACUGAGACACGGCCCAGACUCCUACGGGAGGCAGCAGUGGGGAAUUUUGGACAAUGGGCGCAAGCCUGAUCCAGCCAUGCCGCGUGUGUGAAGAAGGCCUUCGGGUUGUAAAGCACUUUCGGCCGGAACGAAAUCGCGCGGAUUAAUAACCCGCGUGGAUGACGGUACCGGAAGAAGAAGCACCGGCUAACUACGUGCCAGCCGCCGCCGUAA
rnacentral:rRNA from 1 species